UUAUGAUUUGUCACAGUAGAAUUUUCAACUAUACUGUGUACAGAUGAAAUUAGCAUGGCCCCUGCGCAAGGAUGACACGCAAAAUCGUGAAGCGUUUCACAUUUUU